AGACAGGGGGUAAGAGGGAGAGUGUGUGGGUAGGGGAGGAGACAGAAUGUAAAAGGGUUAGUGUAUGGGUAGGGGAAGAGACAGGGUGUAAGAGGGUUAGUGUGUGGGUAGGGGGGGAGACAGGGUGUAAGAGGGUUAGUGUGUGGGUAGGGGAAGGGACAGGGUGUAAGAGGGUUAGUGUAUGGGUAGGGGAAGAGACAGGGUGUAAGAGGGGUAGUGUAUGGGUAGGGGAGGAGACAGGGGGUAAGAGGGAGAGUGUGUGGGUAGGGGAGGAGACAGAAUGUAAGAGGGUUAGUGUAUGGGUAGGGGAGGAGACAGGGUGUAAGAGGGUUAGUGUGUGGGAAGGGGAGGAGACAGGGUGUAAGAGGGUUAGUGGGUGGGUAGGGGAGGAGACAGGGUGUAAGAGGGUUAGUGUGUGGGUAGGGGAGGAGACAGACAGCAGUGGUCAGGGAAAGAAAUGAGUGAGGAAUAGCAUAGGAGUGAAGUGGAGGGAAAAGUGAGAGAAAGGAAAAGGAUACUACAGGGGAAGAAAACAGAAGAUGUAUAGAGGGGAAUGGGCAUGGAGAAAAACAAAGAAGGAAAGAGUAAAGAAGAAGGAAAGUGUAUGGAAGGGGAAGAAUG